CUUGCCCCCGUCUCCGGCAGCCAAUAUGGCGGCUCCCUGUGUGUCUUGCGGUGCAGCGGCUUCCUACCGGCUUUUUCUCGGAGGUAGGGUUAGCCUCGCCCGGAGACAAGGCGUCUGGAAAGCAGCGGCUGCUGAGUUGCAGACAGGUGCUGGAUUCCAGAUACUAAGGCUAAGGCACACCACAGGUGUAACAACAAAGAAAAAUGUUGCAGCCUUAAGACGUGAAACUUACACAGUGGAUUUUAUUAAAAAGCAGAUUGAAGAGUUCAACAUAGGAAAGAGACAUUUAGCCAACAUGAUGGGAGAAGAUCCAGAAACUUUUACUCAAGAGGAUAUUGACAUGGUGGUGGGGACAGUUACUGUGGACCUGGACUGAAGGCCCUGCAAAGUCUGGCUGGAGUGUUCCCUGAAGGGCAUGUUGCAGACAAGCCUCUGUCUUCAGGAGCUCUGGAGGAUGACCUUGUUCCUUCAGAGAGCUGUUGCUUACCUUUUUCCAAGUGGUUUGUUUGAGAAGCAAGCCAGGCCAAUAAUGAAGCAUCCUGAACAGAUUUUUC